rnacentral:rRNA from 1 species
GAUGAACGCUAGCGGCAGGCUUAAUACAUGCAAGUCGAGGGGCAGCAGCUUUAUAGCAAUAUAGAGGCUGGCGACCGGCAAACGGGUGCGGAACACGUACACAACCUUCCUUUAAGAGGGGGAUAGCCCAUAGAAAUGUGGAUUAAUACCCCGUAACAUAUCGGCGUGGCAUCACACUGUUAUUAUAGUUUCGACGCUUGAAGAUGGGUGUGCGGCUGAUUAGGUAGUUGGCGGGGUAAAGGCCCACCAAGCCUUCGAUCAGUAGCUGAUGUGAGAGCAUGAUCAGCCACACGGGCACUGAGACACGGGCCCGAAUCCUACGGGAGGCAGCAGUAAGGAAUAUUGGUCAAUGGACGCAAGUCUGAACCAGCCAUGCCGCGUGAAGGAUGAAGGUCCUCUGGAUUGUAAACUUCUUUUAUAGGGGGCGAAAAAAGGGAAUUCUUUCUCACUUGACAGUACCCUAUGAAUAAGCACCGGCUAACUCCGUGCCAGCAGCCGCCGUAA